rnacentral:rRNA from 1 species
AAUAGCCCGAAGAAAUUCGGAUUAAUAACCAACAAAAUUACGAAGAGGCAUCUCUUUGUAAUUAAACCUCCGGGGGAUGUGGAUGAGCAUGCGUCCGAUUAGUUAGUUGGCGAGGUAACGGCUCACCAAGACCACGAUCGGUAGGGGAUCUGAGAGGACUAACCCCCACACUGGUACUGAGACACGGACCAGACUCCUACGGGAGGCAGCAGUAAGGAAUAUUGGACAAUGGCCGCAAGGGCUGAUCCAGCCAUGCCGCGUGAAGGAUGAAGGCCCUAUGGGUCGUAAACUUCUUUUGUACGGGAAAAAACCCCUCUAUGCGUAGAGGGCUGAUGGUACUGUACGAAUAAGCAUCGGCUAACUCCGUGCCAGCAGCCGCGGUAAUACGGAGGAUGCAAGCGUUAUCCGGAUUCAUUGGGUUUAAAGGGUGCGUAGGCGGAAUGAUAAGUCAGCGGUGAAAUCUCUGGGCUCAACCCAGAAACUGCCGUUGAUACUGUCGUUCUUGAGUACAGUUGAUGUGGGGCGGAAUAUGACAUGUAGCGGUGAAAUGCUUUAGAUAUGUCAUAGAACACCGAUUGCGAAGGCAGCUCACAAAACUGAAACUGACGCUGAGGCACGAAAGCGUGGGGAUCAAACAGGAUUAGAUACCCUGGUGGUCCACGCCCUAAACUAUGAUAACUCGCUGUUGGCGAUACACAGUCAGCGGCUAAGCGAAAGCGUUAAGUUAUCCACCUGGGGAGUACGACCGCAAGGUUGAAACUCAAAGGAAUUGACGGGGGCCCGCACAAGCGGAGGAGCAUGUGGUUUAAUUCGAUGGUACGCGAGGAACCUUACCAGGGCUUGAAAGUUAGUGACUAAUGCCGAAAGGUGUUAUUUCGCAAGAACACAAAACUAGGUGCUGCAUGGCUGUCGUCAGCUCGUGCCGUGAGGUGUUGGGUUAAGUCCCGCAACGAGCGCAACCCCCACUGUUAGUUGCCAACAGGUAAUGCUGGGAACUCUAACAGAACUGCCUGCGUAAGCAGUGAGGAAGGUGGGGAUGACGUCAAGUCAUCACGGCCCUUACGUCCUGGGCUACACACGUGCUACAAUGGCCACUACAGAGGGCAGCCACAUGGCAACAUGG